rnacentral:misc_RNA from 1 species
GCCAUAUUGGCCAUGGAGUUGCCCUCAGAGCACAGAAUAAGGCUGUUUUUAUAGGCACUCUUGUCCGGUAGAGCAGGUUAGACGAAUAUUGGAGCUACUGCUGCUUCAUUCCAGCUCAUAUCCGCCUUAGUUUGCCUCUUCCAUGGUUGAAGGAGACACCAGCCUUCCUGGUCAUUAACCACUUCUCUUUCCUCCUUGUUUCCACAUGCUGGCAGUGUGCACUGCUUUUCUCACUUUUGUCAUGGGCAGCAAAGCUACUGAAUCUGCCUUCUUUUUCUUCGAUACCAUUGUUAAAAUCCAGUAUCUGCUCCCAUUCUUUGAACAAACUUAUGACAAGACACCUUAAGCAGCCAUGCAAUGCAAAAGCUUUUUCUUUUUCCAGGUUGGGGCGGGUCUGCAGUCACAGUGCUGCAGUUUGCUUUGCUGUCGACUUUUGGACCCAGGUCAGCACUGGACAUCCCGCUCCAACGGAUCUGCCAUGCCGGUGGGUGCAGCUUCGCCUAAAGAAGAUCCCAUCUAAGCCAGCCAAAAAGAUAUCCUAUCAGCGGCAUCGUUAUGGGCCAACGGCAACAGUGACGAAAGAGCGUGGACCAGUUAACCUGAAAGGGAUCCCUGACGUAAAAGGCUUCCUGGAAAGCCUGCAGCAGGUUGCACCUUCAUCCAGGGUUUUCACACUAACGACCCCCCAGGCAGGAGUGGUUCCUGCUGCCACAGUACCGCAAGAUGCCACUGUCCUGCACAAUUCUCCUACAGCAACUCUAGAUAUAACUCUCGAGGCACCAUUGUCUGCGUAUACCUCUAGGCUUCUCAAUUCAAAAGGUUUUAAAAAUGAAAAUGUGGGUGCCUUGGCAGCCGACGUAGUAGACAAAUUCAUGAUAACAGAGGCUGAGGCAAGGAGAAUUGAAUGUUCAACAAGAACGCAGGCAAACAAUCCCCUGUGGCACCAGCAUAGAAAAGGCAGGGUAACUGCAUCAAUCUUCAAAGAUGUGUGUCGUUCGAAAAGAGUGCGCUGCACGACUCUAUUCAACAAGAUCAUGAGCCUGCGCCCAUUAAACGUGCCCGCCGUUUUGUAUGGUGUAGCCAAUGAGCCGGUGGCCAAGGAGCGGCUACUUGAACACCUGCAGACAACGCAUACUAAUGCACGCAUUGAAGCAUGUGGCCUAAUGGUACACCCAAAUUAUCCACUCCUCGGCUGCAGCCCAGAUGGCAUUUUCUUAUGCGACUGCCAUGACCCUGCACUAGUUGAAGUGAAGUGUCUCUUCAGCUUGAGAGACUGCAGUCCCCAAGAUUUGGUAGCCGAAGGUCAGAAGAGGAAGGGGUUCUGCCUUACAGCCAAUGGGACGUUGAAAGAAAGCCAUGCCUACUACUACCAGGUGCAAGCUCAGCUUCAUCUAAACCUGGACAACAUAAAAAAAAUGCUACUUCUACCUUCAUGUCGAGGGCGGCGGGCACCUGGUAGUAGUAGAAAGAGACGAAAGUUUUAUGGAAACGCACAAAGAUAGCUUGGAAGCUUUUGUGAGAGACAUUGUUUUGCCUAGAGUAAUUCUUGGAACCGCUAUGUGAAGGCCAGGAAAUGUAAUAUCAUCUGUGGUUGUACGUGCUAAAGUCACAGUAUGAUUAAGAGGCACACCGUAGUGGAAGGCUCCAAGUAAAUUCAACCAACUGGGGUCAGCAGCCAAGCACAGUAACCACUGUACCACCGAGGUCAACAAGUCCAUGAAAUGCAAUAUUUUUGCCAGUUAAUUACUGCUCCAUGUUUUAUGCAAGUACUUGUCAACCGUUCCUUUCUGAAAACUUUAGCACCUAUGAAUCUGAGUGCAACAAUGAGCAGUGAUUCCACUCCUGCGCCAACUGCGCCAAAGUGCGCCAAAUUGUGUUUACUGCGCCAUCCUGAUAAUAUCGACGAAAUUUGCGCCA